GACGAACGCUGGCGGCGUGCUUAACACAUGCAAGUCGAACGGAAAGGCCUGCAGCUUGCUGCGGGUACUCGAGUGGCGAACGGGUGAGUAACACGUGGGUGAUCUGCCUUGCGCUUCGGGAUAAGCUUGGGAAACUGGGUCUAAUACCGGAUAGGACAGCUGUUUAGUGUCAGUUGUGGAAAGUUUUUUCGGUGCAAGAUGAGCUCGCGGCCUAUCAGCUUGUUGGUGGGGUAAUGGCCUACCAAGGCGUCGACGGGUAGCCGGCCUGAGAGGGUGUACGGCCACAUUGGGACUGAGAUACGGCCCAGACUCCUACGGGAGGCAGCAGUGGGGAAUAUUACACAAUGGGCGGAAGCCUGAUGCAGCGACGCCGCGUGGGGGAUGAAGGCCUUCGGGUUGUAAACUCCUUUCGACAGGGACGAAGCUUUUGUGACGGUACCUGCAUAAGAAGCACCGGCUAACUACGUGCCAGCAGCCGCGGUAAUACGUAGGGUGCGAGCGUUGUCCGGAAUUACUGGGCGUAAAGAGCUCGUAGGUGGUUUGUCGCGUCGUCUGUGAAAUUCCGGGGCUUAACUCCGGGCGUGCAGGCGAUACGGGCUGACUUGAGUGCUGUAGGGGAGACUGGAAUUCCUGGUGUAGCGGUGAAAUGCGCAGAUAUCAGGAGGAACACCGAUGGCGAAGGCAGGUCUCUGGGCAGUAACUGACGCUGAGGAGCGAAAGCAUGGGUAGCGAACAGG
rnacentral:rRNA from 1 species